CAGCCGCCGCGGUAAUACGAAGGGUGCAAGCGUUAAUCGGAAUUACUGGGCGUAAAGCGUGCGUAGGCGGUAAGUUAAGUCUGCUGUGAAAUCCCCGGGCUCAACCUGGGAAUGGCAGUGGAUACUGGCUCGCUAGAGUGUGUCAGAGGAUGGUGGAAUUCCCGGUGUAGCGGUGAAAUGCGUAGAGAUCGGGAGGAACAUCAGUGGCGAAGGCGGCCAUCUGGGACAACACUGACGCUGAGGCACGAAAGCGUGGGGAGCAAACAGGAUUAGAUACCCCAGUAGUCCCUGUCUCUUAUAC
rnacentral:rRNA from 1 species